AGUGAACGCUGGCGGUAGGCCUAACACAUGCAAGUCGAACGGCAGCACAGUAAGAGCUUGCUCUUACGGGUGGCGAGUGGCGGACGGGUGUGGAAUACAUCGGAAUCUACUUUUUCGUGGGGAUAACGUAGGGAAACUUACGCUAAUACCGCAUACGACCUACGGGUGAAAGCAGGGGAUCUUCGGACCUUGCGCGAUUGAAUGAGCCGAUGUCGGAUUAGCUAGUUGGCGGGGUAAAGGCCCACCAAGGCGACGAUCCGUAGCUGGUCUGAGAGGAUGAUCAGCCACACUGGAACUGAGACACGGUCCAGACUCCUACGGGAGGCAGCAGUGGGGAAUAUUGGACAAUGGGCGCAAGCCUGAUCCAGCCAUACCGCGUGGGUGAAGAAGGCCUUCGGGUUGUAAAGCCCUUUUGUUGGGAAAGAAAAGCAGCAGGUUAAUACCCCGCUGUUCUGACGGUACCCAAAGAAUAAGCACCGGCUAACUUCGUG
rnacentral:rRNA from 1 species